rnacentral:ncRNA from 2 species
AGCUCAUCCAGAGGGGCAGAGGGACCGGCCCGAUGAAGCCCCGGCAACCGGCGUCAGCCUGUCAUCUCGGAUUCCGCGAGGUAGCUGACGACAUCGGUGCCAAUUCCGUCCCGCGUCAGCGGGGAAGAUGAGGA